rnacentral:rRNA from 1 species
AAUGAACGCUAGCGGCAGGCUUAAUACAUGCAAGUCGAGGGGCAGCACAGGUAGCAAUACCGGGUGGCGACCGGCGCACGGGUGCGUAACGCGUAUGCAAUCUACUGAUUAUCGGGGAUAGCCUUUUGAAAGAGAGAUUAAUACCCCAUAAGAUAAAGUUGUGGCCUCACAAUUUUAUUAAAACUACGGUGAUAAUUAAUGAGCAUGCGUCUGAUUAGCUAGUUGGAGGGGUAACGGCCCACCAAGGCGACGAUCAGUAGGGGAUCUGAGAGGAUGACCCCCCACACGGUUACUGAGACACGGACCCGACUCCUACGGGAGGCAGCAGUAAGGAAUAUUGGUCAAUGGGGGCAACCCUGAACCAGCCAUGCCGCGUGUAGGAAGACGGCCCUAUGGGUUGUAAACUGCUUUUGCAAGGGAAUAAAUGCCUGUUCGAGUAACGGGUUUGAAUGUACUUUGCGAAUAAGGAUCGGCUAACUCCGUGCCAGCCGCCGCGGUAAUAC